UGGGAUUGAAGCAAACUCAUAGCUGUAAUUAUUGCAUUCCUUAACCCUUCAGAGAUCAAGCGUGUAUCAGCUUACUUCUACUUAUCUCUGUAUUUCUAAACUGUAGAGGCUGUUGGUGAAAUAUUAAAGCUUCUGGCUAUCAAAUUGCAUCUGCGGUCUGCCCAAGUCGGUUAGUGAAGGAUUAAGACAGAGUGAUACCGGAUGGCCCAUGUUUGACUCCUUCAUAUGCAGUUAAGUACCUGAAGUUACACUCAUUGGCAAUUUAAUUCGGAAGUGUUUAGAAGUUUAAGCAAAAGUCUUUGCAGGGAGACUUUUUGGCAAAUCAAAGCAUUGUGCAAACUGCGCUUAAUUUUCCUCCUGGACUCUUUAGUCUUGCAUGAAGUUACCUAUAUUUAGCCUCCAUCUCUUUCUGGGGAGUGACCCUUUUUCUUUCUUCGUUUGUGAUAAAUAGAUUUCCAUGUUAGGGUAUUUUUCUUAAAUCUUUUUUUUGGACAAAGAUGAUACAGUAAUUAAUUCUGCCCUACUUUAGUUUCACUUAUCUUAUUGCUUGACUAAGUUGUCUUCAACGCCUUACAUGUUGUAAUUUUUAUUGGAAUUGUUUUAUUGGUGUGGAUAUAUCCACAGACAGCUGGAGUAGCAAAAGUAUACAUUGCAUCUAAAUUGGUAGCUGGAUACAAUAAUAUGUUGCUCU
rnacentral:lncRNA from 1 species